rnacentral:rRNA from 1 species
UACAGAGGCCCCAAGCGUUACUGAGAAUCACUGGGGUUAAAGGGUGCGUAGGUGGCGCGUUAAGUUCGUUGUGAAAUCCCUGGGCUCAACCCAGGAAUUGCUUCGAAUACUGGCGUGCUUGAGGCUAGUAGGGGUCACUGGAACUGACGGUGGAGCGGUGAAAUGCGUAGAUAUCGUCAGGAACGCCGAUGGUGAAGACAGGUGACUGGGCUAGUUCUGACACUGAGGCACGAAAGCGUGGGGAGCGAACGGG